GCUGGACGCAAUGGUGCGCACCUGUAGUCCCAGCUACUUGGGAGGCUGAGACAGGAGGAUGGCUUGAGCCUAGGAAUUCUGGGCUGUAGUGCACUAUGCCCACCGGGUGUCCGCACUAAGUUCGGCAUCAAUAUGGUGACCUCCUGGGAGCAGGGGACCACCCAGUUGCCUAAGGAGGGAUGAACCGGCCCAGGUCGGAAACAGAGCAGGUCAAAGUCAUCCAGCUUGAAGCGGCAGAGCCAGGAUUAAAACUAGGCUCAGUAGGACCCAAACUCUAAGCCAUCUCACUUGCUC
rnacentral:SRP_RNA from 1 species